rnacentral:lncRNA from 1 species
CGUUGGGCCAGAAAAAAGCAUUGAGCUUGAGGGACUAGACUAAUCAAAAAAUGGAAUAACAUGGCAACAAUUACACUGAUGAGUGAGAGGGAAGCGGCACAUGCAUUCAGACACCUAUGGCAUCGCAGGCUCCGCGCAUUCAGCGUUUCGUGUUUAGGGCCUUGUGUUUUUGAGAGCAGGUGAGAACAACAGCAUGACUGGAAUGGCGAUAGCCACUUCUAAAAUGUCCAUUUAUUCAUAGCUCAUCUACUUCUCAAAAAGAAAUUGUGGUAAGUUACACCAGAAAUGGAGUUCCAAUAAAACAGAGACUCAUCAACAGAAGCUAAAAGACAACAGACAAACAUGAAGUAAUAGUAGUAGAAAAAUUUAUAUCAAUAAACCCUCGCAAAAAGAAUGCAAUUUCCAGCUCUGAGUUUUCCAGCAGCCAGGCAAAGAGAGAAAGCCCAUGAACUACAGAGACCUCCUCAGCUCGUCAUGAAAACCACGUGGGUUCUUUAAGGGAAACGACAUUUUUCUGUCCCUGAGCUCCUCCAGGUGGCGUUUGUCUGGGGCAGGGCGUGUGGGAGGCAGCCAAUGAAUUGCCGGAGAAGUUGGCUUUCGGUAGAGCUGGGGACAGCUCCCCUGGAGGGGGACUGUCUUUCUGACUUUGGCUGAUGUGCAUUCUGAGCCAGGAGCAAAGGAGAGUCAUUCUUUUCCUCUCUGAGCUCGGGGAGGGAUAAGCAAGGACAGAAAGGAAAGAACAAACUCUUUGGGUCAUGAAGAAGAGUUUCCUAUGCCCUGAAAGCAAGUUACAGCAGCUGACUUGAAACCACCACAUAGAGGAGCACUAGAAUUUGGCCAAAGGAGUUGUUUUCACCAAAGACCUUCUUGCUCUAAAGGUCAAGGAGCCCAGGACUCCAUACUUGGGAGGGCCCAUCUGCUGAGUGGGCCCCCUCCCUGGAGAAGGCCAGUUGAGCUGCUGCCAGACUCCAUGCCAAAUUCAAAUGAAAAAUGAGGGUUUUCUAGGAGAUUAUUGUGAAAAGGUGAGAAAAAAACUAAACCAGCUUUGCAGGAGCUAAACAGUGAUAUUUCGAGUCAACCACACUUUACAAAGCCGGAUGUUAUUUUAGACAACAUAAGUGUAAUCACUCUUUCUAUCCAGUCUCUGAUAUUAUACUGUACUGCAGAGAAAAUCUGCUGAUCAGUUUUAACGCCCUUCUCUGAGUUGUCAGAUAAAAGGCCACAGCAAUCGGAAGAAAUUUAUCUUUAAAAUGUUUCUAUUAUGCUUGGUGACAAUGCCGUUUCCACUGAGGACUUCUCUAGUAUGUAUUUUUUUUCCUAUGGAUGAAGCAGGAAUCAAAAAGGACUUUCGCUGGGCCUCGGGAGAGCAAAACGGGCAUGCAAACACUGAGCCUGGCGGGGCGUUAAGCUCUGAAAUGCUUCAGGGAGCCGCUGGCGCCGUGCACGUGCAUCAAGGCAGGGAUCUUUAUAGUCUAGGAAAUUCAUCACAGCGUGACAAUUUGUGCCCGGCUCCCAAACGGAGCUCGUCUAGUUCUCGCUCUUGUUUCCCCUCAGUGGCCUCACACAUUCUGGAAUGUGUCUUAAGGGGAGGAAUUCACAGAGGUUUCAGACUAAAGGAAAAAGCAGCCCGCUGAUUCAGUUCGCCUUGCCCCACACUGCGCCUUCAUUGUAGGAUAAUGAGGCCGACGCUCAUGCGGCGUCUACACUGUGCAGGCACCAGGUGAGUCACGUCACUCACAUCACUGCCAACCCUCACUGCAGCCCUCUAAAAAUAAAAUAAGUUUUCUUGUCCUGCCUCAAUUCAUGCAUUAAGCUGGCACUCAUUCAACACAGUUUUGGAGGACCUAUAGUGCAGGAUGGCAGACAAAGUUGCAGAUGUUGAGGACCCAGUGAUAAAGAAGAUAUGGCUCCCUGCACAGAAAUCGGAAAACCAACCAGCAAAAAAGUUAAAGGAUCUUGCCAAGGAGGGAGUAGAACCAGAGGGUGAUGCCGUUUGUAUACUUCUAAAGCUUGCACCGCUUCCUACGCACCACGCUGCUUCCCUUGACUCGCUCCGUCUUCUGAGCUACUCAUGAGGGGCUGUUGUGUUCACCAUAGCACCAGGCCUGGGAGCAUUGGGGAAGCUCAAAACUGUCUGUUGAACAAAAGGAGAGAAGAGCCAUGGAAGCCAUCUAUACUAUGUUGUCUUGAUCCUUCAUGCAAAAUCAGAGACAAAUCUCACUUCUGGGCUGCUUACUUAAUGGGUUGUCUCCUACCCUUGCUGCAGGAAUGCUGUUCACAAUGGACCGAUGGACAUUUUAUUGAAAAAAGAAUAGAGCCAGAGAAGCUAAGCUUUUAUCUACCACCAUGGAAACAGGCGAAUCAUGGUUUCUCAAAGUCCUAACCUCAAUAAGCAUCCCAAACUGACAAUUGACGUUAGAGGAAGUCGAGGAUAGAGUGAUAACCUGGAAUCACCAAUAAAAGUUAUUGUAACUGAUUUAUUUUCAUCGUGUUUUCUGGGAUUUCAGAUUAGCUUGUGUUCAGAGGAUCUAUGCUAAACCAUUGACAGACUUAAGUUGAUAUGACUGUGUCUCAUAUAAGAAUUAUAGCCAGAUUUUCAUGUUUGAGCAAUUUUAGAAAACAAUCAAACAUUUGCUUGGUUACCUGUGAGGUA